AACAUUUGAUGUGGAUGUAGGGGUGGGUUUCAAGAUGUUUGGAUCCAGGGUUCAGGGUCUGGCCUGUCUCUAGUAAUAAACUCCUAAUAUUCAGUAGUAACCUGAAAUCUGUUGAGGGACAGUGGAGUCCCUAGAGAGAGAAACUGUGACCUUUGCUGCCUUUGUUUGUGAGGUGUGUGCAUCUGUUACUCCCAGCUUCCGUGUGAGGCAUCUCUGGGGAGGAAAUGCUGCCCCCCCUGAGCUGCUAGCUGCAGUAGUCAGCAGGCCUUUCAGGUCUCUGAGUAGCUGAGGGGAGUCCAGCGAGUCUGGGCAGCUCCCAGUAAUUGUUCAUUUGGUCUGAGAGCAGAUGUGCUGGAUCAGUGGGAUUUCUACAAACAGCUGUAGGGGUUUACUUAGCUUGAGACUCUCUCUUUCUUCUGUCCCUGUGCCUAGAGACUGUUGUUGUGCUCUGGGGAAAGGAUCUGAAUGUGCACUUUGUGGGGAUUUUUUGCUUUCGGAAGGUGUGGGAUGGACACCUGACUAACAACCUGUGUCGAGAGCAUAACGGACUUAAGGCCAAACGUCUUCUCUAAAAGUUCAGUGCAGACAGCUCCUUUUUGCUUGUCAGAUGAGGUGAAAGAAGAGCUGAAAGCAGAAACCUCCAUUGUUUCUGUACUGCCUAUAACGCGCAGAUCACAGAGGCAUCCGGGUCCAAAUAGAGAGAGAGAGAGAGAGAAAGAAAAGAUAGAAUUCUCCCACCCAGGCUCUUAUCCUGGAUGCUGAACUACCUGGAGAGGACAUCAGUGACCUGGUCCAUGGGUACCAGCACCUCUCUGCUCCUAGGGAAGGUUUCACUAGGUCCUGAGUCAGAGCUGAUGUGCUGCGUUCAUCCAGAAUGGGUCAGAUCCUACUUCCACUGCAGUGAAGGGCAGUUGCCAUUGACUUCAAUCGGAGCAGAAUUGGGCCCUCCCUCGGCCAGUCCUCACAACCGAGCAGUAGCAUUGCAGAGGUGAAUCCAUCUUACUGCCAGUUCUGAAAUGGUUUUAUCCCCCUAGAAACAAUUCAUUGGGUGGGCCAAUGGCUCUGGACUUGGUUAAAUGGUUCAUGUGGUUUGGCUGAAGAGAAAACAUUUUAAAUUAAUAAUUUCUCUGAUUCUACCAAGAUUAUGCCCCUACUUCAGUUGAAGCCAUUCUGCAUAAUUAAACCAGCAUGGCUGCUGAGUCCCUGCUUCCAAGUAGCUUGCUACCCUUUGCCCCCCAGGUUCAUGGGAGGGACGCAUGCUCUUAGUCCCCCCCCCCCUUUGUGCUCUCUGCAACUUGAGUGUGCUAGCACCAGGGUCACAAGGAGCGGACUUUGUCC
rnacentral:lncRNA from 1 species